CACCAUUUUCUGACAAAAAAACAUUUCUACAACAAUUCGAUUAUCAAUAGGCUGAGCUGAGCUUUGGUGAACUGCACGUGUAGAGAGCGAUGAGGAGAUAUGGAGGAUCAAACUUGGACCUAAACCCACGAGGUCUAUAUAGAGGAAAGAAACAGAUAAAAGCUCCCGAGCCAAGUUGGUUCAGUCCUUCCAUUCUUACUGUGUUGAGUAGUUUCUUGGGAAAUAACCACGCCGCACUAUUUGUAGCAGACAGUUUCAUUAUCGUUAGGCUGUUUUGAACAGUUUGCUCGAACUGAAUGACAAUGGACAUGCCUACCUUGAGAACGAUUUUUGGAGGAAGUAAAACACUGGAUCUUGGCAUAUUUAGAAGGCUAGCUUCCCUAUUUGCAUCUUUCAUGUACUGAAUAUUUCAUAGCAGUCACAUACUGAACAUUUUGUAUUCCAAACUCUGAACUAACCGGCACCACUUCUCUAGCAUUAGCAUUAGCAUCAGACAGCAGCACAGAAACCCUGACAGACCCAGAAAAAUCUGUUGUACUCUAUUCACCUGAAGAAAUGACAAAUGCACUAGAGGAUAGCAAAGCUUGAGGAACCAUGCCGGCCAGACGACAGCUGCCUCAGCUGCCUCGAAUGA